GUCCCUGUUGGACAAUGGAUAGCGCGUUGGACUUCGAAUCCAAAGGUCGUGGGUUCGAAACCCACCUGAGAUG